AUGAAGAAGAUCAAGAGUGGAAAAGCGCUAGUGGAAGAAGUAAGGAAGAUUAAGAAGAACAUCAACGCUGGCAGUACUAUUUCAUCACAGCUUGAGCUGAGUGUUGCUGGGAUAUCCCUUGAUACAUGUGAGGUUUCAAAACCUUCACAUUCAGCUGAGCAAGAUAGCGAGAGUCCAGAGGAAGAGAUACUUCAUAUCCAAGAAGAAAUACUUGAAGCCAAGGAACAAGAUGAUCCAGAGCUUAAAUGCCCAAGUGAUCAAGUUGAAGAUCCAAUGUCUAUCUCUCCCGAAGAAGUAAAAGAAGCUACUGUAGCUGAAGAUGAAGAACCUGAGAUUCAUUUGCCUAUUAUCAUACAUGAGCAUGAUGUGUCAGGUUUAUCCAAUCCUCUCCAUGACAUGCAUCCUUAUGAUUUCUUUCCUACUACCUUGCAUUGCAUGAUGCCAUCUGUUAAAGUAGAUUUGAGGAAGUAUUUGCUUGGAUAUGAUGAUAUAUACCCUGUUAGUGGCAUUACUCUCAUUUGUGAUGAUCAUAGUUGCUUUCCUCGUGCUAGUCCUAUGCUAAAUGAAACAUAUCAUUCCCAUGCUAGUCCUGAGCUUAAUAAUAAAUAUCAUCCUCAUGUUAGUGUUGACCUUGCCGAUUUCUACCAUCCUAAACAUGUGCUUUAUAGCUAUGCUUAUGUAAUUGGAUAUUCGAUUGAUGACUUGGAGGGUAUUAUCCCUACCACUUGCAUUGUCUCUUUUGUUGAGUGCUCUUUCAGGUUCUUCCUUGUGCACGAGUCACUACAUGCUGACCAGGUUCGAGGUGACAUUCCUUGGGACCUCGGUGGAAACUGA
rnacentral:rRNA from 1 species